rnacentral:rRNA from 1 species
GAACGGGUGAGUAACACGUGAGCAACCUGCCCCUGACUCCGGGAUAAGCGGUGGAAACGCCGUCUAAUACCGGAUACGACACGCCACCUCAUGGUGGCGGGUGGAAAGUUUUAUCGGUCAGGGAUGGGCUCGCGGCCUAUCAGCUUGUUGGUGGGGUAACGGCCUACCAAGGCGAUUACGGGUAGCCGGCCUGAGAGGGCGACCGGCCACACUGGGACUGAGACACGGCCCAGACUCCUGCGGGAGGCAGCAGUGGGGAAUAUUGCGCAAUGGGCGAAAGCCUGACGCAGCGACGCCGCGUGGGGGAUGACGGCCUUCGGGUUGUAAACCUCUUUUACCACCAACGCAGGCUCCCGGUUCUCCGGGGGUUGACGGUAGGUGGGGAAUAAGGACCGGCUAACUACGUGCCAGCAGCCGCGGUAAUACGUAGGGUCCGAGCGUUGUCCGGAAUUAUUGGGCGUAAAGAGCUCGUAGGCGGCGUGUCGCGUCUGCUGUGAAAGACCGGGGGCUUAACUCCGGUUCUGCAGUGGAUACGGGCAUGCUAGAGGUAGGUAGGGGAGACUGGAAUUCCUGGUGUA